AACGGAUUAUUCUUUAUAGCUUGCUAUGAUAAAAAUUAGUGGCAGACGGGUGAGUAAUGCAUAGGAAUCUACCUAGUAGUAUGGGAUAGCCACUAGAAAUGGUGGGUAAUACUGUAUAAUCCCUGCGGGGGAAAGAUUUAUCGCUAUUAGAUGAGCCUAUGUUAGAUUAGCUAGUUGGUAGGGUAAAGGCCUACCAAGGCAGUGAUCUAUAGCUGGUCUGAGAGGAUGAUCAGCCACACUGGAACUGAGAUACGGUCCAGACUCCUACGGGAGGCAGCAGUGGGGAAUAUUGGACAAUGGGCGCAAGCCUGAUCCAGCUAUGCCGCGUGAGUGAGGAAGGCCUUAGGGUUGUAAAACUCUUUCAGUGGGGAAGAUAAUGACGGUACCCACAGAAGAAGUCCCGGCAAACUCCGUGCCAGCAGCCGCGGUAAUACGGAGGGGGCAAGCGUUGUUCGGAAUUAUUGGGCGUAAAGGGCAUGUAGGCGGUUCGGUAAGUUAAAGGUGAAAUGCCAGG
rnacentral:rRNA from 1 species